rnacentral:lncRNA from 1 species
CUAGUUGUCGCUAACCCUGCAAACACCAAUGCAUUGAUUCUGAAAGAAUUUGCGCCAUCAAUCCCUGCUAAGAACAUUACAUGCUUGACCAGAUUGGAUCAUAACAGGGCAUUGGGACAAAUAUCUGAGAAACUGAAUGUCCAAGUAUCUGAUGUUAAGAAUGUGAUUAUUUGGGGAAAUCAUUCAUCAUCUCAGUACCCUGAUGUCAACCAUGCAACUGUCAAUACUGCAGCUGGGGAAAAGCCUGUCCGUGAGCUUGUCAAGGAU